AAGUUAGAAUUUUAGGUGAAAAGAAUUUUAAAAUUAUAAUACUUAUUAUAACAUUUGAAAAAUUAAUAAUUUAAAACGAGUAAAUUUAAAAGAAUUAAUAAUACAAAAAUGACCUUAAAUAUACAUUUAAUUUCUUCCCUCUUUUGCCUUUGUUUAUUUUGAUUAAAAUACACAAUACCUUCCCUCCUCUCUCACUUCGAUUGAACCCAAAAAUAAGCCAAACCACACUCCUCAAUUGAACACGUCAAAACCCAAGAAGACCUUCUUCCUUCUCGCCAUUUCCUCUGAAAAUGGCUGAUUUUUGAAUUCUUCUACAGUUGAGCAACCUUCUUCCUCAUUCGAUCCACUGAUUUUCGAGUACAACCCUUGUAAUCUUGAUCUGAAUUUUCAAAGAAUUCAGCCCUAACAUAGCCUUCUUCUUUGAAGCUUUUCUUCGAAAACCAGCAAUGGCAGGAUUCGCUUCUUCUUCUUCCUCUGACCUUCGAAAAAUGCAUCAGUAUAACGUUUUUCUUCUUCAGUGUUGAAUCGUGGGAAGGAGCAAGUGUAUUCAUCCUCAAUCUUGACUUUUAGAGGUAAAUUAAUCAUGGUGCUUCAUCAUAGAUCUGUUUUCUUCGAAUGUUGAACAUUUGAUACGGUUUACUAUGAUUUUUGAGUGCAAUUCCAUCAUCUUGUUAUGGAUUUUCAGUCUUCCAUUGAAAACCUAACUCCCGUCCAUACGUGUAAAUCCUAGUCUUUCAUCCUCCCUCUGAUUCUUCUCUAUAGAUCAAACAACAAAUCAGCUAAUCUUCGAACCAACUCAGAACCAGAAUACUUCGAUUCUUGGCCUCAAACAGCCGGCAGACAGCAGCGCACAGCCGCUCCGCCCCGGUGACGGACCUUAAACCGCUGCCUUCUUCCUUCUUGCCUUCGAUUUUGAGAGAACGAAACAGGAGGUGACAUCAUCGAGGAAUCUUUCUGUUGAUCACGGAAAAUCAGAUUAGCUCCUUGAAGCAUCUUUGAUCGAAACCGGUCGGGAACGAGAGGUUAGCAGUGAUGAUUAGAGUUCCAUGGAUGUUAUAUGAGCUGAACACGUGAGAAUUUGUAGUUUUGUAUUAGGCUUUGGUAAAUGUAUAUUAGACUAGACUGUAUUGGUUAUGUUGGACUUUUAUAGUGACUUUUAUGAUUACUUUAUGUUUUAGAUA